UAGGGAAUAUUAGAAAUGGACGAAAGUCUGAUCUAGCAACACCGCGUGUGCGAAGAAGGCCUUCGGGUCGUAAAGCACUUUUUGGAAGGAAUAGGAAGGAAUGUACUUCCAGAAUAAGUCUCGGCUAACUACGAGCCAGCAGACGCGGUAACACGUAGGAGGCAAACGUUAUCCGGAUUGACUGGGCGUAAAGCGCGUGUAGGUGGUACUGUAAGUAGGGCGUGAAAGCUCCUGGCUCAACUGGGAGAGGCCGUUCUAAACUACAGAACUAGAGGAUGGUAGAGGGAGGUGGAAUUCCAGGUGUAGCGGUGGAAUGCGCAGAUAUCUGGAGGAACACCGGUGGCGAAGGCGGCCUCCUGGACCAUUCCUGACACUCAGACGCGAAAGCUAGGGUAGCAAACG
rnacentral:rRNA from 1 species